rnacentral:rRNA from 1 species
UACAGAGGGGGCAAGCGUUGUUCGGAAUUACUGGGCGUAAAGGGCGCGUAGGCGGCCCGCUAAGUCGAACGUGAAAUCCCUGGGCUCAACCCAGGAACUGCGUCCGAUACUGGCGGGCUUGAAUCCGGGAGAGGGAUGUGGAAUUCCAGGUGUAGCGGUGGAAUGCGUAGAGAUCGGGAAGAACAUCGGUGGCGAAGGCGGCCUGCUGGGCUGUUGCUGACGCUGAGGCGCGACAGCGUGGGGAGCAAACAGG